CCUACGGGUGGCAGCAGUGGGGGAUAUUGCACAAUGGGGGAAACCCUGAUGCAGCGACGCCGCGUGUGGGAAGACGGUCCUCUGGAUUGUAAACCACUGUCCCCAGGGACGAAGAUGACGGUACCUGGGGAGGAAGCUCCGGCUAACUACGUGCCAGCAGCCGCGGUAAUACGUAGGGAGCAAGCGUUGUCCGGAAUUACUGGGUGUAAAGGGAGCGUAGACGGCCAUGCAAGCCAGGGGUGAAAGCCCGGGGCCCAACCCCGGGACUGCCCUUGGAACUGUGCGGCUAGAGUGCGGGAGGGGCAGGCGGAAUUCCUGGUGUAGCGGUGAAAUGCGUAGAUAUCAGGAGGAACACCGGCGGCGAAGGCGGCCUGCUGGACCGCGACUGACGUUGAGGCUCGAAAGCGUGGGGAGCGAACAGGAUUAGAUACCCGAGUAGUC
rnacentral:rRNA from 1 species